ACUAGCGUGCGGUUGGGGGUUGUGAUGUUUCUCGCUUCUUGUUUCUCCCGGGAAGUUGGCUUAUGUUUGGCUACCGGAAUUUUGCAGAGUUGGCAUUCCAGACGAAAGGGUCACUCAGCUCCUGAGGCGAAGGGCAAAAUGCGCCGAGCGGGGCCUAGGAGGGGACGGGAGUGAAGGUGUUGGGGUAAAAAAAGUUUCGGAGCCGUUUUCCUAUCUGUGAAAAAAGAAUUUUUGGUGUGGCCAUGCUGUUGUGGGAAACCCAAACCAAGUGCAACUCAGUAGAGCUGGCGCUCCUCGGGCCCUGGAGGUCCUGCAGGUUCUGCUGCUAACAAGGCCGCUGGAUACUAGUUACAUUCAUUGACGCACCAGCUUGUUUCGGGGCUCCUGCUUAGGCAAAAAAACGCCCAUCCGGAACCUGACCGUGACCCAAGAUUUGGCAAAGGAAAAAAAAAAAAAAAAGAAACAUUAAAAUGUUACAUAAAUUGAAUGGGCGAAAGAAAGAUAAUGAAUGUGCUAGGAUGCUGGCUCUGCUUGCAGUUCCCUUUGGAUUAUACCUUCCUCCUUUUUGCUCCUCCAGAUAAGGAUUCCCUCAACAAUAGAGGUGAUACAUUAUCUCUGAAAUACCCAAAGUGGUUUUCUUUUCCUGACUGGACACUGACUAAUAAUGUGACCUUGAGCAAGUAAUUUUUGCAUCAGUAGCUUCCUCUAUAAAAUGAAGAUAGAUGAAAAUAGUAAUCUGUCUCAUUGGCAUUAUUAAGAUUGAAUGAGCUAAUGUUUUUAGAGUACUUAGAACAGUGCCUGGCACAAAGCAGACACUAUGUUUGCUAAGUAAGUGGUAUCAUGUAUCAUAUUCUGUUGUUAAAUACAUAUGGUGUUAGCCAUUAAGUUUAUAAAAUCUGAUGUCCCUCUCCAUACAUCUGUCACAUUCUGUCACCUGCCUCCCCCACCAUUUCUUGUCCUUACUGCUUAUUGCUAUCAUUUCCCUGCCUGUGACCUCUAUGCCAUAUCUUCUUUUGCAUCUCUUCUGUCAUUAAAUCAGCAUGUAUGUUUUUCAGUGUCCUUUUCUCUCGUUUGCUUUAGACACAGACAUUUUGGAGGCCCAUAGGUUUCAAUGUUUUUAUGAAGUUUUGUAUUGUAGGAUGUGCAGUGGUGAGAGAGGGUAUGCAGGGUAGGAAGCAGCACUGGCAGUGGAAGACUAGCAUGAGAACCUGAAGACAAAUCCUGAAUCUACAGAGUGGAAUGUCAGGGACCUUGUGUACCAGAAAUGUUGAGAAAUACAGAUUCUUUUGGCUAAAUCUUGUCCACAGUAAGAUUAUUUUACAUUUGUAUGGAAUUCUUUCAUUGGUUACAAUUUAGGGAUUUGAGAACAGUGCUGUUUUUUAUUUCAUACUCAAUAAGGAAAGCCGAUUCAGAUUUUCGGGUUACAGUUACUCCAUUCCCAAGAUCCUAGAGACCAAAACCUUCCAGAAAACAAAACAAAACAAAAAAUGUGGGAAUGAGUUAGACCUAGAAUACUGAAUAAAUUAUUCAGUUUACUGAAUAAAGAGAAUACUGCGGUGUCUAUAUAAGUGUUGGAUCAUUGUCCAGAGAACUGGUCACAGAAAUUCCUAGAAUGAUUGUUGAAGUUCUCCACAAACUAAGAUCAUGUCAAUUUUUACUGUCCUGUACACUUUCAGCUUGUCCUACUAGGCACAUGUUUUAUACAGGUAUCCCUCGGUUUCCAAAAAGUUGGUUACACAACUUUGCUUUUAGGAAAGAACUGUAUCACUACCUGUUUUCACUGAGCAAAAGAAACCCAAAGAGGAUUUUUGCUUCACAAAAAAAGCCAUUACUAUACCACAGGCCUUUCAUAAAAGUGAAGUGUAACUUGAAUUUUCAGAAAGUCAGGGAUACUCUUCCCAGUAUGCCUUUUCAGCUUAUGUAAGGUCUUAUAGAAAUGUUUUACUUUUGGACAAUAGGGAAAUCUGUACUUCUUUUUCUUUAUAAGUCCAACUUUCAACUAUGCGUAAGUGUAUUUUUUAGUCUAAUUAGAAUUCUAGGCUUUAAAUUUAGAUGGGUAUUUGUAAAAGUACAUCUGAAAAUCUCAUAUUGCUUUUGAAUAUCUUUCCCUCCCUCCCUCCCUUCUUCCCUUCCUUCCUUUCUUAUCUGUCUCUCUGUCUAUCUAAAGUAGG